UUAAACUAAAUACUUACAAUAAUUUGUGCUUUAAUCUCUCGAAGUGACAAGAGGGGCUUAGUUUCGUCCGAUUCGUUCUUGAGGUUAAUCAGAAGAUCAAGAAUAUCAUCUUGUUGAGUCUUGAGCCCUAGCUGCCACAUCUCCAUUCUCUCAUUGAUCAACGGAUCUUGGUAUUUCCUUACCUUUAAAAAAAAUAUAUAUAUUGUUACAUCUAAAGAAAGGAAAAACACACUCACACUCUAAUCUUCUAGGUGACUCGAACUCCAAUCAAAACUCCAAUCUAUUGAUUGAAAGAGAAGCGUCUUACCAACGUACUGCGCUUCAUCGUCAAAAUAUGAAAAUCAAAAUGAAAUGCUUUUUUUUUUUUUUUUGAUCGGGCAAAGUCAUGUUAGAUGUUAGUAAUUAGUUCCCCAUCCACUCCAAGAACCACCUUAUCUCUCCAUUCACCAAAAUCCACCUUAUAUCUCCAAUCUCCAAAUUCGC
rnacentral:lncRNA from 1 species